CAGGAAGUAGUUUAUUUAAAAUAUUAGUUUUGGAGACUAAUGAAGGAAUUAUUUUCUUUUUCUGA
rnacentral:tRNA from 1 species